AUCUCCCACUAUUGUUGUAUAGCAGAGCAGUCAAUCAAAUGUCACCUCAGAGCCAUCUGCAAUCAAGCCUGGAAAAACUACCUGUACAGGAGGAGGCUGCAUCUGAACUCAAGCUCAACCUGCAGAAUCUUGUUGUAUACACUUUGGGGAGAACAGCAGUUCCUACCUUCACAUCUGGGAACAUGAAGAUUUGGAGAUGCUGUUUUGUUUAUUCAAAUAAUAUCUGUGUAGGCACUACUUGACCUCUUCAAGACUCUGUUCCUUCCUCUGCAUAAUGAAGAUUAAUAGUGUCUGCCUCAUCUGGCUGCAGUGAGGAUUAAACAGCAAUAAUCUGUGAACACCUCUUAGUCAUGUCUGGUACUUAACAAGCACUCAGUAAGAUUUUGUGGUUUAUCUAUUAUUCUUGUUGUUGUCGUCGGCAUCAUUAUUACUACAAUACAGCCAAUAGAUCAAAUUUGCUGAUGUCAGAGCCAUGAGAUACUAGUGCAAAUGUAUUUAUGAAGUCUAUAAUGUGAUUUUUAAAUUUUUCUAAAACCUGUUUUCCACUGAAUUAUUUCAAAGUAUUUUCUCAUUGUAAUCAAAAGAAGCAGGCUCUGCCACCUAGUGGCUCCUUAAGAUCACUCGAGAAAAACCUAAAAAGACACCAGAACAAAACACAAAAAACAAAAUUCGUAUUUACUUUAAACAGAGAAUCCAUGCUGUAGAUUUUAAAAAGAAGUGAUACAUGGAAUAAAAUUUAUAAAUUUAAAAUAAUGAAAUCCUAUUAUUUUCUCCAUUGUAUUAUACCAUUCAAAUUGCAUUUGAUUAAUUCUUAAUAGCACCUCUAAAGAGUGACUAGAAACCUUUAUAGCUUUUAGUUCACAGUUAAGUGCCUUGGUUUCUUCAAGUGAGAUGUGAUAUAAUGAUUUUAUCCUUCAUGCUUUUAAAAUGCAAAUAAAAAUACUGAUUUAAAAAUAUACAGAGAGGGUGCUCAAGGACCUUUUAUUUGUUUCUUAACUUGGAGGGUAAGUACAUGUUUAUUUUAUUGUUAUUCUUUAAACUAAAUAUAUAUGUUUACAUAAGAAUGAAUGAAAU
rnacentral:lncRNA from 1 species